rnacentral:rRNA from 1 species
AGUGAACGCUGGCGGCGUGCCUAAUACAUGCAAGUCGAAGGUAGUGGCGCGCGGGUGGGUAAUAUAUAGCUAAACUGCCCCUUGCUGGAGGACAACCGAUAGAAAUGACUGCUAAUACUCCAUAGCCAGGGAUGUGACUAUAUCGUAUCAGCUCGUCGGUGGGGUUACGGCCUACCGAGGCUAUGACGGGUAACUGGUCUGAGAGGAAGAGCAGUCACCUCGGAGCGGAGACACGGUCGGGAAUCUUGCGGGAGGCAGCAGAAGCGAAUAGUGCUCAAGGGGGGAAGCCAUGACGCAGCAACGCGUCUUAGAGGAUGACACUUUUCGGGGCGUGAAUUCCUGUUGAUAGGUAGACGGUACCUAAAGAAUAAGCACCGGCUAACUCCGUGCCAGCCGCCGCGGUAAUAC